CAUUUAAAAAUGUAAAACCCAUUCUUAGCUUUCAAGCCAUACAAAACCAGGCUGCAAGCUGGAUUUGACCCUCAAGCUAUAGUUUGCCAACUCCUGCUCCAUCCUAUGCUAUCUUGCCUUACAUCUACAUGAAAGAUGUAACAUGUCAGACAGAGUGUGCCUGAACAGUGACCAGCGCAGACUAAGUGGUCAGUAAGUGUUCAUUCUCGUUCCCUUCCCUAAUCUCGUUCUUCUUCUUCCUCCCCACAACCAGAUCAGAUAUCUCAUUCUGUGCCCAGCACAAGAGAGGAAGACGAGGGCUUUCGCAAGGUCUAAUCAGCAGGCAGAGCCUGAGAAAUUAUCCCUUCGGAGGAGAGAGGCUGUCAUUGGAGCACCAUAAACAGCCCCUCCAGGUCCCAGCAUGUUCCAAUGGAGAGUCAGAAGUUCAAAUCCCAGUGCUACCACUGACAAGCUCUAUGAUCGUGGGCAAAACUGCUUAACCUAACAGGCCCUAAAUUUCCUGUACAUUAAAAUGAAUAUAAUGAU
ensembl:lncRNA novel transcript, antisense to NRXN3